rnacentral:rRNA from 1 species
CAUAACACCCUGAUUUCAUCUGAUGACGCACUGCCAGGCCGGGUUAGUUCUUGGAUGAGGGGCUGCCUGGAAAUACCAGGUGCUGUUAUAG